UGGAAUGUGCAGGAUAGGAGUUAUUGUAGAAGCCCCAGUGGCCUGUGUCAAGGCCUGGACUUGAGAGGAAUGCUUGCAGGUUUUCUGCCACCUUUAACAGGUUACAUUUCCAAUUGGCAUUAAGAACUGCAUACAAACUUAGAGAAACCAACUUUCAGGAACAGGAGAUUAAUUUUCUCUUCUUGCCUUCCCUAGCACAAUAAUGCAUUCUGCAAAUACCUGGUGGGUUAAUUGACUGGAACCCUCUAAACUGCAUUUCCUAUGGCUCAGCUCUGGGCUACAGGUCUUCCUGGGAAAUUAUUAAGCAGGAGGAAUGAGCAAUGAGGAAACAGGAGCCAAGCCUGGAAAUGAACAUGUCCUUGUAAAUGACCAAGAGAAGAUAGGAGUUAAAAUAUGCAACUGUUAUGGUG
rnacentral:lncRNA from 1 species